AUGCUACACAGCCCCACCACGCCAGAAUCCUCCACGAUCAACGCCGCCAUCACGCCACGAACCUCGCCUCGGCCAGCCGUCCUCGACCUGCCUUGCUUCCCUACCUCUCCUCGCCCCGCCGUCCUCGACCUGCCUUGCUUUCCUACCUCUCCUCGCCACGCCGCCCUCGCCCUGUCCGCGACGUCCUCGACCCGCCUUGCUUCCCUACCUCUCCUCGCCCCGCCGUCCUUGCCACGCCGCCCUCGCCCUGUCUGCGACGUCCUCGACACGGUGGACGUCCUCAACCCGGCGCGCUACCAUGCCUGCGGUGUCAUCACCCCGUGUGGGCAGCACCAUCUCGACCUGCAGGGCCACAUGUUAGAUCAAUAUAUCAUGAACAAGCUGAGUUUGGAGAGGUUUUCGACAGGUUUUGACACUUUGGAGAGACCCAGUGCGCAGUCUGCUGUCACCCAGCAACGACUCACACCAGCUGCGGAAGGCAUACCUGUUCAUGUGAUAAUGAGUGAUCAGACUCCACCUCAUGGUCCAAAUUCAUUAAGAACACCAGAUACCGCCGUUUCUAAUAAGGAAAAUGUCAAUAAUAUCGACUCUGCCAUUUGCUCCUCCCAACUGACUAUGUUACCACCGCCACUUCAAUCCUACAGAGGCACCAAUUCAUAUGCUGAUGAAGAUUGUGAUUGGCUACACACAAAUGAUGCAUACCAGAGACAAGACUUUGGAAGGAGGAUGCUGCCAGACAACAUACUCACUGGGCCAUCAUGUGGACACAAUCCCGUCGACAAAUAUAAUGGAAAUGACCACGAAGAUGAUGCAUAUGGAAUACUGGAGCCCGAUGGCAACACAAACAACAUUGAUGACUGCUUGGGAGACGGAAACCAAGUAGAAGCUGAAUACCUUGAGCCUGAUGAAGAGGCUAGGAUGUUCUCCCACCAAGGUGUUGAAUUUGAAUCCUACCGAGUUGAACGAUGUCACACUGAUGGAACAAACACAAAUGAUCCUCAUGAUAGGGUUUACAUUAACCUUCCCAGAAAUCACCACGUCCUUAGGAAAGUUAGGGACUGCCUCCACUGUGGAGCAUUGCGGUUUCAAUAUGAGGGACCUGCAUUUUGUUGCAGAAAGGGGAAAGUAGGUUUAUUUACACCCGAGGUUCCGGACGAAUUGAAACGGCUGUUCACAAGUCAAUGUGAUGACGAUGGAACCGGCGUAUAUACCUUCCGUGCAUGUGGGGGGUUGUACCACGCUCUUGAUGAUCUGGUGCCAGCUGAUAAUGGCCCUAGGGAUUUGAAGCUCUAUAUUUAUGAUACAGAUCAUAACUUGGUGCACAGGGCUAAGAGGUCUCCAGAUCUAAAUAUAGAUCUCAUACGGAAAAUUCUGCUAAUACUAGAGCCGAACCCUUAUGCGCAGGCUUUCAAGAGCCUUGGGUCUAUUCCGAAUCUAGAUGAGUACAAGAUCUCACUCAACACAGAUAUCAAGUUGGAUCAGCGUAGGUACAAUGCCCCAACGACUUCUCAGGUGGCAGCAAUAUGGGUUGAGGGGAGCAACCCACAAAAUUGUUUUGACAGGAGUGUUGUCGUGCAUGGCAAAAAAGAGACUGACCCCUGUAUAUUAGAGCCUACUAUGGGUGCUAUGACCCAUUGUCAUAUCCACUAUUUCUCCCACGUGGGGAGACUGCUUGGAAUCGCUGGAUGCCGUAUGUUCAGGCCCCCGAUGACACCACCCAAGAUCUUGCGCAUAAUUCUGGACCGCAAGAAAACCGGGCCUCUCAACUACAUACAUGUAUUAUGUUCAUUACUAAUGUGUUAA
rnacentral:rRNA from 1 species